UGCUAAAAUACAUCAAUGUGUGUGAAAUUCGUUGUCAUUGCUUUUGUUUUGAACAUCAUAUUCGUGCCUGCCGGUGGAAAAAUUAGAGCGACAUACGGACAAGGAAGAUGAUCAUCGUUUAAACAAAUGGUUUAUUUUCUUGUACAAGCAGCCGUGGCCCGAGCAGCGCAAAUCGUGGCAGCGAAUUAUAAGUAAUAAGGGAAAUAAUAGUGCGAUAAGAAACUGGAGCUCGGGGAAAACUAUAAUUUACGUCUCUACGCAGCACGUACGCAUGUCUGCAGCUACUGGCAGAGGCCCACAGGCACUCGUAAAAAUUGGCCACUAUUUACUGGACACAAGGUAGCAGUAAAGAUAUUGGACCUCAUGCAUUAAAUGUGAGUUUAAGCUCCAACUCGAUUUUCAGUACAAAUUCUUGAGCUUAAGCUCACCCCUUUAGUGCAAAAAUUGAGUCUGACCUUAGACUCAUUUUUUAUGCAUGAGGCCCAUUAAAUCGCAUAAAUUGGUUGAAAUGGUUGGAAGUGGACCAACAACUUGCUGCCUUCUCGUCAAUUUGGUUAAGUUGUGUUGACUAACUCCGGAGGCAUUAUGGAUCUUGAGGAGGCCAGACGGUAACAUUUGGGAGGCAAAAUGCUAGGAUUCUUGUUCUAAGCUGGGCACUGGGUAUUCACACUUUUGUUAGUGUAUUGAAGCUAUUGCAGCUGGCAAGAGCAACAUGUUUAUAUUA